AGGAGUUUGAUCCUGGCUCAGGACGAACGCUGGCGGCGUGCUUAAUGCAUGCAAGUCGAACGAAGAACCCACUAUGGGUAACCACUGUGGAUUUCUUAGUGGCGAACGGGUGAGUAACACGUGAGAAACCUGCCCCGGAGACCGGAAUAGCCCAGGGAAACCUGGAUUAAUACCGGAUACCCUCUUGCGAUCGCAUGAUCGAUUGAGGAAAUGGUCCGCCGCUCCGGGAUGGUCUCGCGCCCUAUCAGCUAGUUGGUGAGGUAACGGCUCACCAAGGCAAUGACGGGUAGCUGGUCUGAGAGGACGAUCAGCCACACUGGGACUGAGACACGGCCCAGACUCCUACGGGAGGCAGCAGCAGGGAAUUUUGCACAAUGGGCGAAAGCCUGAUGCAGCGACGCCGCGUGGGGGAUGAAUGCCUUCGGGUUGUAAACCCCUUUCAGGAGGGACGAAGCGAAAGUGACGGUACCUCCAGAAGAAGCCCCGGCCAACUACGUGCCAGCAGCCGCGGUAAUACGUAGGGGGCGAGCGUUGUCCGGAUUUAUUGGGCGUAAAGAGCUCGUAGGCGGCUCAGCAAGUCGGUCGUGAAAACCUGAGGCUCAACCUCAGGACGCCGGUCGAAACUGCUGUGGCUAGGGUUCGGUAGAGGAGAGUGGAAUUCCCGGUGUAGCGGUGAAAUGCGCAGAUAUCGGGAGGAAC
rnacentral:rRNA from 1 species